GCCAGUGUGGCAUAAUGCUUUGAGCAUUGGACUAUGACUCUUGGAGUCCAGGGUUUGAAUCCCUGCACAACCA